UCAUAAGAAGGCAACAAAUUCUUCUCCUCUACAGAAGGAUUUUGCAAACAAUUUGGCAAGUUCCAAAUGAUUCUGAUUGCAAAUACCUGAAGGACUGGGCAAGGGAAGAAUUCAGAAGAAACAAAACUGCCACCGAAGAGGAUACAAUCCGGUUGAUGAUUACUCAAGGCAAUAUGCAGCUCAAGGAGUUAGAAAAAACACUUGCUUUAGCAAAAUCUUA
rnacentral:lncRNA from 1 species